rnacentral:rRNA from 1 species
UACGGAGGGUGCAAGCGUUAUCCGGAUUCACUGGGUUUAAAGGGCGCGUAGGCGGCUAGGUAAGUCCGUGGUGAAAUCCUGCAGCUUAACUGCAGAACUGCCAUGGAUACUAUCUAUCUUGAAUGUCGUGGAGGUUAGCGGAAUAUGUCAUGUAGCGGUGAAAUGCUUAGAUAUGACAUAGAACACCCAUUGCGAAGGCAGCUAACUACGCGAUAAUUGACGCUGAUGCACGAAAGCGUGGGGAUCAAACAGG